AGAGUUUGAUCAUGGCUCAGGGUGAACGCUGGCGGCACGCCUAACACAUGCAAGUCGAACGAAGAAAUCCACUUCGGUGGAGAGUAUUAGUGGCGAACGGGUGAGUAACGCGUAGGAAUCAACCCAACGGACCGGGAUAGCUACGGGAAACUGUAGGUAAAACUGGAUAAGCUCGAGAGAGGAAAGGAAGAGAAGCGCCGAAGGACGAGCCUGCGUCCCAUCAGGUAGUUGGUGUAGUAAAGGUGCACCAAGCCGACGACGGGUAGCCGGUGUGAGAGCACGAACGGCCACAAGGGAACUGAGAGACGGACCCUACUCCUACGGGAGGCAGCAGUGGGGAAUUUUGGACAAUGGACGGAAGUCUGAUCCAGCGAUGCCGCGUGAAGGAAGAAGUCCUUCGGGAUGUAAACUUCUGAAUUUACAGAAUAGAAGAUACUGGAGACAGUAAGAGGAAGGUAUGUAAAGAAAAGCCCCGGCUAACUCCGUGCCAGCAGCCGCGGUAAUACGGAGGGUGCAAGCGUUACUCGGAAUCACUGGGCGUAAAGGACGCGUAGGCUGGUUUGCAAGUCAGGGGUGAAAGCCUACAGCUUAACUGUAGAACUGCUCUUGAAACUGCUUACCUAGAGUAUGGGAGAGGUAGAUGGAAUUAGUGGUGUAGGGGUAAAAUCCGUAGAGAUCACUAGGAAUACCGAUUGCGAAGGCGAUCUACUGGAACAUUACUGACGCUGAGGCGUGAAAGCGUGGGGAGCAAACAGGAUUAGA
rnacentral:rRNA from 1 species